ensembl:lncRNA
ACUGUAAACCUCUCGGCCUGGCUUGACCAAAUAAUGCACAUACACUAAGGCCCCUGCCCUUAUUAAGUCCACUCCUUUCCAAGCUAGCUUUAUCUUAGGAACCCCCCAAACUAGUGAGUAUGUUAGUCAUGGUGGGUGUGGGCAAUGAUGCCACCCUCUAUAUGCUGCAGGUGUGGGAGCACCACUAGAAUUUGGUUUGCUUUUCACAGACCACUCAGCUGUUUAUCAUCCAUUUUUGUGUCUGAUCCUUAUAAUAGCCACCAUUAACUGGGAGGAGAGUGAGGCUCCAUGAGAUAAGUCUUAUCCAGGAUCUCAGAACUAAUUCCAAGCAAAGCCCGGAAGAAACCCUGCCUACUAGCUUCAGCCAUCCCACCAAUGUCAGCACAAGACUCCUUCCACAGAAGCAACCAAGACAGCAGAGGUGUCAAGAAGAAACUGACAUCUGCAAGAGCCCAGAGCUUUCCCGACUCCAUCCCAGCACCAGCUGCAGUAACCACCAAGUGAAAGCAGGGGGCAGUGAGGGGAAUGGCACAGCCCUCUCAUUCCCGGAACACAGUCGAUCUCAACUCAGCGGAUUUCACAGAACACUCUCUGCCUAUCGCCGGCUCCAACGAGAAGUAACUUUCCAGGAAGCUGCCGGCCCCGACGGCAGCCAGGAUCGCUGCCUGCGCCGCUCGGGCCGCCGGGGAUUCACCCGGCGAGGGGGGGCAGCCCGGGGAGGCUCGCGGGGAAUACGGCGCACUUUCCCCUAAAUCCCUCGUCCGCGCCAGGUCUAGGAGUCUAUUAGAGUUCACCUAGUCCAACCCUUCCCCCACAACAAUUUUUUAAACAGGGAAAGUCAGGCAAGUUAGUAGCACAGCCGGGUCUGAAAGCCAGGAUUUCACGUUCUAUCCCAGGCUUGACUUCAAGUUGCCCCAUUACGGCGUUUAUUUGCCUGGUGCGUCUUUUUCUUUCUCUUUGCUUGCCCCUCCGACCCCGUCCCCUCGUUUGAAAGGGAGUGGGCGGUCGAGGCCCCCCCAAGUCAAAAAGAUGGAGUCCUAGAGCUGAGGGUCUCCAUCCAGCGCGCCCCACCCGAGCUGAAGGAAAACUAAACCGAAAGCCCCUUCCGCCUACGUUGGCAAGAAGGAGAACCCAGCUCAGCUCGAUUUCCGCCCAGAAUAGAAGCUGCCAGGCCGAACCUGGCUAGAUUUCGAAAUUUCCGAAUCCGAUUUCUCUGAAACCAUAGAUUAAAAAGGUCAGGAUUGGCACAAGCCUUGGGCUCAAACUCUAGCGCGUUCAUGGGCGCGCCAAGGUUGCCUUGCCCUCCCCGGGCCUUCCUCGGAGUUAGAACCCCCGGGCGCCAUCUCCUAAUCGGUCUCAGCAUCGGACUCCAAGAGGCACCUGCGGGACCCGGUGCUAGGGAGGCGAAAUAUGCAGCCUCUUAGGCCGCAGCGCAGUCCUAAAACUGGAGGGUAGCGUCACACUGCGCCGCGCAGCACCUCAGCAGCGGGGGCGGGCGCUCUUGCAAGCCUGCAAGCUUCUAGGAAAUGCAAUAAAAUAGAGGGAUGUGUUUUAUCAUCAAGAUCUGAAAGGAGCUGCAGAAGGGACACUCCCCGGGCGCCCAGCUCGCGACUGCCUUCCAGAAAGGGCCGGCAGUCAAUGCCAACAGACACGAGCAAAGAUAUUUUGGCCAUCCUGCCUGGAGCGGGCUCGGCCUUUGCAAAAAGGCUGACGGGGGAGGGCAGAAGCAUGAUCUCCCCAAGCAAACAAUGCCUUUAAAAAUCCGAUCUGGACAGAAG